AAGAUCUGUAGAAUAUAACAACGUGCC
rnacentral:piRNA from 1 species